rnacentral:snoRNA from 1 species
UGAUCAUUUCAAAGAGAACCUUUAGGAUUGAAACCAGAGGCUCUUACCACCGUAACCAAAGAUCAAAGCCUUCCCAGGAUUCAAUGGUCAGUCAGAAAGUGUAGUAUUAUUUUCCUUGCCAGGCUUCUAGA